rnacentral:rRNA from 1 species
UUAUGGCUCAGGACGAACGCUGGCGGCGUGCCUAAUACAUGCAAGUCGAACGGUCUUUCUAUGGAAGCUUGCUUCCACUGAGAAGAUAGUGGCGAACGGGUGAGUAACACGUGGGUAACCUGCCCAUAAGAGGGGGAUAACAUCCGGAAACGGGUGCUAAUACCGCAUAGUUUUCUUGAUCGCAUGAUCGGGAAAGGAAAGACGGCCUUUGUGCUGUCGCUUAUGGAUGGACCCGCGGCGUAUUAGUUAGUUGGCGAGGUAACGGCUCACCAAGACGAUGAUACGUAGCCGACCUGAGAGGGUGAUCGGCCACAUUGGGACUGAGACACGGCCCAAACUCCUACGGGAGGCAGCAGUAGGGAAUCUUCCGCAAUGGACGAAAGUCUGACGGAGCAACGCCGCGUGAGUGAAAGAAGGUUUUCGGAUCGUAAAACUCUGUUGUCAGAGAAGAACAAGUUGGAGAGUAACUGCUCCAGCCUUGACGGUAUCUGACCAGAAAGCCACGGCUAACUACGUGCCAGCCGCCGC